GAAUGGUUUACUGCAGCAAAGUAAUAGGGCUUGUGCCGGGGGAUAAAAUGAAGCAGAACUUGCCUUCAGUUUCAGCCGCUCCUUCUUGAAAUAUAUAUGUAUGUAUGUGUUUGCAAUAUUUUGCUUAUAUUUUGUAACAAUUAUGUUAAAUAAAUUAAACAUUUUAAAAAAUGCAAACGCAACACGCUGGCUAAUAACGGUUAGUAAAUAUAUAAUUGGUAUGAUGUCAUUCAAAAUAUACGAAUAAGCCACUUUAAAAUAAUCUAUAUAUCAUACAACACAUCUCACAAAAUAGACAAGUAACUGCAAGUUGUUAUAUGUAUCAGAGUCAAACAAAGAUUCAAACAACCAAUGAAUAGCAAGGAACGCCAAACGACUCUCAAAGGAAGACAUCUCACGAAAGUCUCAAAGGAAGACGUCUCUCCGAAGUCUCAGUGCAUCCGGACAUAGUUCAACUGUUUUGGAAUAAAGUCUUCAUCAGCGAAUAAUCAAUGAAAUAUACAUACUAGUGAAGAUCAUACUAGUGGAUCAGUGCUCACUGGAUAAUGUAGCUGCUGAUUUUUGUAGAUUGUCACAUUUUGCAACACAGGGGUUUGUGUUUGUUCGGACUCCCAUCAUCGCCAACCAUUGGCCAUUUGGGGUGGGGCUGAUGGGAGAUGGAGUCCAGCGACAACUAGCAAGCCACAGAUUCUCCAACCCUGGUCUGAUGGUAGGGUCGGCCCCAGCUGGCUGUGCAAGGGGAUGAAGGUGCAAAAGGGCAGCAUGUUUCAUGAAAGCAUGCCCAUGUCCGUUAAUCAAGUCGCAUGAGGGCAGUAGGCCAUCAGAUGAUAUGGCCACUAGCACUGUCGCAGAGAGAUCUUUCUCCUGCGUGUUUAUUGGAGCACGUUUCGCGCACCCUCCCAACAGGCUGCCCUCUGCUUCUGCAUGGUUAAAGGGAUGUGUGCUCAGUAAUCUGCUUUUGAGCUGUAUUACUUUAAUGCAGCUCAAAAUAGCUUUGGUAACAGCGUGAGAUCUUGACCCACUUAAAUUCAGCCAAGCAAUAUGCAGGAUGGAGCCCCAGAGGAAGAAAAAGCUUUUGCUUUCCCCUCAAACCGUAGGUAGAAACCCCCCCACCCCAACGAAUUUUCUCGGAGAAGCAUCCAAAAUCUAUACAUAAUAAGGCGAUUGCAGAAAGGAAGUAUGAAUAAGCCAUCUUUUCAUUUUGAGAAGCGGGAAGACGUGGUGACAUUUCAGCGACUAACCCUUUGAACACAUAAAUCCCCUCUCUGUUAGAAGGUAAUCUGGUCUCUCAGACUCAAAGUAGGAUAAUGAAGUGUCUCAAAAAAUAAAUACAUGGUAAGUAUUCAGUAAGUGCUUCUUCUUCCACAACCUGCAGUUCACACAUGCAUUCUAUGUUUCUCUGACUUAGGAAAUGCACAGACAUAAAUAAAUUCCACUCUAAUUUUACACUCCAACCGAUACACCUUUAAAGCUUUAAAUUUUAUUUUCUGACAUUUAUAUAUUUUUUUUCAUUCAGGGAACACAAGGAGGCCUGCAGGUUGUUCCUCAGAAGUCAUCGACCAGACCCAAACUUGCUUACUUUACCUAUAGAAACUCCUAUAGAAACCGCCCUUGGACCAGACCGC